rnacentral:rRNA from 1 species
CAGUCGCCGCGGGAAUACGAAGGGUGCAAGCGUUACUCGGAAUUACUGGGCGUAAAGCGUGCGUAGGUGGUGGUUUAAGUCCGUUGUGAAAGCCCUGGGCUCAACCUGGGAAUUGCAGUGGAUACUGGGUCACUAGAGUGUGGUAGAGGAUAGUGGAAUUUCCGGUGUAGCAGUGAAAUGCGUAGAGAUCGGAAGGAACAUCUGUGGCGAAGGCGACUAUCUGGGCCAACACUGACACUGAGGCACGAAAGCAUGGGGAGCAAACAGGAUUAGAUACCCGGGUAGUCCCUGUCUCUUAUAA